GACGGUGCCAAAAUCAUCUUGAACGUGCCCAACUUCAGCAGAUUCCAGAAGCUAAACAGGGUUGAGCCUGGUUAGUACUUGGAUGAGAGACUACCUUGUUUAGCCAGGUGAGUACUUGGA
rnacentral:rRNA from 1 species